rnacentral:tRNA from 1 species
GCCCCCAUCGUCUAGCGGUCUAGGACAUAGCCCUCUCAAGGCUAAAACAGGGGUUCGAUUCCCCUUGGGGGUA